rnacentral:ncRNA from 1 species
UUAACGAGUAUCCAUUGGAGGGCAAGUUUGGUGCCAGCAGCCGCGGUAAUUCCAGCUCCAAAAGUAUAUAUUUAAGUUGUUGCGGUUAAAAAGCUCGUAGUUGGAUUUUGGGCGCAGGCGGCCGGUCCGUCGCAAGGCGUGUACUGGACGUCCUGGCCUUCCCUCCGGUUCUCCGCCGGUGCUCUUGACUGAGUGUCGGCGGCGGCCGGAACGUUUACUUUGAAAAAAUUAGAGUGUUCAAAGCAGGCUCUCGAGCCUGGAUAAUGGUGCAUGGAAUAAUGGAAUAGGACCUCGGUUCUAUUUUGUUGGUUUUCGGAGCGCGAGGUAAUGAUUAAGAGGGACAGACGGGGGCAUUCGUACUGUGCCGUUAGAGGUGAAAUUCUUGGAUCGGCGCAAGACGAACGACUGCGAAAGCAUUUGCCAAGAAUGUUUUCUUUAAUCAAGAGCGAAAGUCAGAGGUUCGAAGACGAUCAGAUACCGUCCUAGUUCUGACUAUAAACGAUGCCAACUAGCGAUCGGGGGGCGUUACAUUGACGACCCCUCCGGCAGCUUACGGGAAACCAAAGUCUUUGGGUUCCGGGGGAAGUAUGGUUGCAAAGCUGAAACUUAAAGGAAUUGACGGAAGGGCACCACCAGGAGUGGAGCCUGCGGCUUAAUUUGACUCAACACGGGAAAUCUCACCCGGCCCGGACACAGUGAGGAUUGACAGAUUGAGAGC